rnacentral:hammerhead_ribozyme from 1 species
AUCCAAAUGAUGAGUCCUAGACAAGACGAAAUGCCCAUCAUGGAU